rnacentral:precursor_RNA from 12 species
UUCUAAAAAGAAGGUAUUGAAAAUGUAUGAAAUUGCUCGGUUUCUCCGCUUUAGUCAUAACUACAGCGGAGAAACUGAGCAAUUCCACAAGCCCGAAUUCACUUCAUGCACCUUGC